rnacentral:rRNA from 1 species
AUGGCUUCCAAGCAUACGCUUGCCGUGGCGGUAGCACUGGCCGUCGUCUUCCUCCCGUUGCUUGCCGCAUCGGCCGCCGUCCAUCCCGUGGGGGAUGGGACAGGGUGGACGCUCGGGUUCGACUACACCGCCUGGUCCGAGAGCAAGCAGUUCACAGUCGGUGACGCGCUAGUGUUCAAUUACAAAAAGGCCUUCCAUAACGUGGUGGAAGUGAGUGGGCCGGACUUCAAGGCGUGUAAGAACAGCAAGGGCAACGUUGCCUGGACCUCCGGCACCGAUCAGGUCCACCUCGGCGAUGCAGGGAGGAUGUGGUUUAUCUGCACUGUAGGGAACCAUUGCAAGAUGGGCAUGAAGCUCAACGUCACCAUCCUCGCAGCAGACGCGUUUUCUCCUGCCCCUGCACCCGCUCCAUGGGCGUCGUCGACUCCUCAUCCUGCGUCCAAGCGGCCAUUUGUUUAA